CACCGCCACCCCCCCACCGCCAACACCAGCGUCGGUGUCCUUGGCCCGAGCAUCCCGGCGGACGAAGGCCACUCCCGUUUUAUAAUUGAGGCCGAUCGCUCGUCACCCGGAGGUGCUUUCCGAGAGGCGGCUCUGGUCGCAGGUUGCCGACCCUCCGUGGGCCACGUCAGCGCGUUGAUGAACUACUUCUACCUUCCCACAGAACUUGGUUUAUUAUUGAUCUGGGUUUGAGUAGUCGUGAGGAAGCCAGGUCCCGGGCUUCAGUACCUGGGCUCUCUGUGCAGGAAUCGAUCCCAUUUUUUGUACAAAAAAAAGGUACCAAGGCUCUUUCACAUCUCGCAUUGAGCCGUCUACUUAUUGUGUAUCCUCCCAAACAACCGUCCUUCACCUCUCGGUGGCGAAACGUCGAGUGUCCAGAAGGUUCGUCCGUGGAAGCACCACCGAGUGCCAAGAUCGGCUGCUGCAGCGCGUGUCACGUUUGAUUUACGCCUGUCAGCAAAGAACAGAAGCGCUCUCAACAUCCCUGAACGCGUGAUCUUCCCAUGCUGUCGUUGAUCCUCCGGCGGGCAUUCCAGGGAGGUUAAUGGGAUAUUUUCGAUGACGUUACCCACAUACAGAUAAUAUUUGUUUUGUUUUGACUCCCGAGCGGAUAACAAAGGCUGCUGAUAACAGUGAUUCACAACUGAGGCGCGUUCACUUCCACUAAUGGGUCACAAGCAAAAAGCGUCUUUAAAACCUCAGUAUAUGCUAAAGAGGAACACUGAAUUGUGUAAAUAGACUAAGUGGGUUACAACAGAAUAAUAAUAAUCCUCAAAAUACUUUCUAUAGAUAACAAAUCCGACACGACUUGCAGGUAAAAUUCAGUGUCUCUAUUUCUACUUCCGCUUCAUUCACUUUGGGUGUCAACAGUCUGCUGGAAGUGAGAAGCCUUGUUUUAUGACCCGCUGAUUAAAAACUCAAGAAUUUCAAUCUUAACCUUCCUGUUUUCUAUUGCAAACUGAAUGGGAGACUUUACGCUGCCUUAAUGCUUUUUCAUCAGGACUUUGUACAUUGAUGAGACCCCGAUGAAUCCCCCACCGUAUGACAACCUCAUUUAAAGGCCCUCGGAGCGCUCGUGUCUAAACGCGCCUCAUAUUAUGGAUUACGGACGCCGAAAUGCCCUUUUCACCCGACAAGGAGGC
ensembl:lncRNA